rnacentral:rRNA from 1 species
GAUGAACGCUGGCGGCGUGCCUAAUACAUGCAAGUCGAGCGAACAGACGAGGAGCUUGCUCCUCUGACGUUAGCGGCGGACGGGUGAGUAACACGUGGAUAACCUACCUAUAAGACUGGGAUAACUUCGGGAAACCGGAGCUAAUACCGGAUAAUAUAUUGAACCGCAUGGUUCAAUAGUGAAAGACGGUUUUGCUGUCACUUAUAGAUGGAUCCGCGCCGCAUUAGCUAGUUGGUAAGGUAACGGCUUACCAAGGCAACGAUGCGUAGCCGACCUGAGAGGGUGAUCGGCCACACUGGAACUGAGACACGGUCCAGACUCCUACGGGAGGCAGCAGUAGGGAAUCUUUCGCAAAGGGCGAAAGCUUGACGGAGCAACGCCGCGUGAGUGAUGAAGGUCUUCGGAUCGUAAAACUCUGUUAUUAGGGAAGAACAAAUGUGUAAGUAACUAUGCACGUCUUGACGGUACCUAAUCAGAAAGCCACGGCUAACUACGUG